CAGGGGGUAUUUUAUAUAAAAUGUUAGUUUUGGGGAUUAAUGAAAUGGCAGUAUGCUUUUCUCCUGA
rnacentral:tRNA from 1 species